rnacentral:lncRNA from 1 species
AUUUUUUUGACCAAACCCAGAUGUUCUGUUCACUCUAGAUAUCAACAUUCCUGCAUUUACAGUGCCGCUUGUGCUAGGGUUCUCCCUUACAGCAGCUUGCUGGAAAGCCACUUUUUCUCUCCUCGUUGUCUGGGAAGUUGUCCUCUCUAUCUCCAUACAUGUCUGCUCUUCUAUUUCCGUAUCAGCUACAUUUAAUGUACUGUAAUCUGCGGCAGCAGUUGGCAUUAUUGUUUCAUCCACAGUCGAACUCUGAGAACUCACUGGCCUCACUUUUGAUGCGGUACUUGCAGUUACAGCUUUGUUAUCAGGCUGCCUCUGGGGGUUGCAGUAUAUUUCUGUAGACAUGAAGAUAACUGCCAAUCCAAUUUCUGCUUCAGGAAUAGCCCUGAGAUUGUUGCUUUCCAAGACAGCCAGAAUGGAAUCAGUCCGGUUUCUCAUGGACUCAGAUCCUAGGAUCUGAGAGUUUGUCACCCCAACAUCAACAACACAAACUUCAGGAGAAACCAGUAAAGAAGUUUCCUUUCUUUCCUCCGUCAUCAGUUUUGCUUCUCCUCCUCC